rnacentral:rRNA from 1 species
AUGGGCGGCGGCAGCGGACAGACCAAUGCACCUUGCGGCGAUAUCUACGCUAGGGAGUGUGUUGUUGCCGUCCACCACAAUAACAACCUGUGUUGUGUCGAUUUUAGAUUCUUUGGUGACGAAUUGGACUACAUCCCACUGAAGGCCACUUAUCCUGCUCAUGAGCGAGUUCCACCGACCUCAUAUUGGAUCAGAGUGUUUUGUACAGGAUUCUUGUGGCGAAUUCUUGAAGAAACAAAAUCAUUCUUCAAGAUGAUAUUUUUCAAGCUCUGA